AACGAACGUUAGCGGCGCGCUUAACACAUGCAAGUCGAACGAGAAAGGGCUUCGGCCCCGGUACAGUGGCGCACGGGUGAGUAACACGUGGGUAAUCUACCCUCGAGCGGGGGAUAACGUUCCGAAAGGAGCGCUAAUACCGCAUAAGACCACGCUCUCGAAAGGGAGCGAGGUAAAAGUAGGCCUCUGAAUUCACGCUUACACUCGAGGAUGAGCCCGCGGCCCAUCAUGGUAGUUGGUAGGGUAAUGGCCUACCAAGCCGAAGACGGGUAGCUGGUCUUAGAGGAUGAUCAGCCACACUGGAACUGAGACACGGUCCAGACUCCUACGGGAGGCAGCAGUGGGGAAUCUUGCGCAAUGGGCGAAAGCCUGACGCAGCGACGCCGCGUGGGUGAUGAAGGCC
rnacentral:rRNA from 1 species